rnacentral:rRNA from 1 species
UACGAAGGGGGCUAGCGUUGCUCGGAAUCACUGGGCGUAAAGCGCACGUAGGCGGAUUGUUAAGUCAGGGGUGAAAUCCUGGAGCUCAACUCCAGAACUGCCUUUGAUACUGGCGAUCUCGAGUCCGGGAGAGGUGAGUGGAACUGCGAGUGUAGAGGUGAAAUUCGUAGAUAUUCGCAAGAACACCAGUGGCGAAGGCGGCUCACUGGCCCGGUACUGACGCUGAGGUGCGAAAGCGUGGGUAGCGAACAGG